rnacentral:rRNA from 1 species
AGGAUGAACGCUAGCUACAGGCUUAACACAUGCAAGUCGAGGGGAAACGACAUCGAAAGCUUGCUUUUGAUGGGCGUCGACCGGCGCACGGGUGAGUAACGCGUAUCCAACCUGCCCACCACUUGGGGAUAACCUUGCGAAAGUAAGACUAAUACCCAAUGAUAUCUCUAGAAGACAUCUGAAAGAGAUUAAAGAUUUAUCGGUGAUGGAUGGGGAUGCGUCUGAUUAGCUUGUUGGCGGGGUAACGGCCCACCAAGGCUACGAUCAGUAGGGGUUCUGAGAGGAAGGUCCCCCACAUUGGAACUGAGACACGGUCCAAACUCCUACGGGAGGCAGCAGUGAGGAAUAUUGGUCAAUGGACGAGAGUCUGAACCAGCCAAGUAGCGUGCAGGAUGACGGCCCUAUGGGUUGUAAACUGCUUUUAUAAGGGAAUAAAGUUAGUCUCGUGAGACUUUUUGCAUGUACCUUAUGAAUAAGGACCGGCUAAUUCCGUGCCAGCAGCCGCGGUAAUACGGAAGGUCCGGGCGUUAUCCGGAUUUAUUGGGUUUAAAGGGAGCGUAGGCCGGAGAUUAAGCGUGUUGUGAAAUGUAGAUGCUCAACAUCUGCACUGCAGCGCGAACUGGUUUCCUUGAGUACGCACAAAGUGGGCGGAAUUCGUGGUGUAGCGGUGAAAUGCUUAGAUAUCACGAAGAACUCCGAUUGCGAAGGCAGCUCACUGGAGCGCAACUGACGCUGAAGCUCGAAAGUGCGGGUAUCGAACAGGAUUAGAUACCCUGGUAGUCCGCACGGUAAACGAUGGAUGCCCGCUGUUGGUCUGAAUAGGUCAGCGGCCAAGCGAAAGCAUUAAGCAUCCCACCUGGGGAGUACGCCGGCAACGGUGAAACUCAAAGGAAUUGACGGAA